AUCUGGUACUUUCAGUGCCCGAGUUGUAAUUUGUAGAAUUUGUCUUUGAUUAGGUCCUUGUCUAUGUUCCUUGGAACAGGACGUCAUAGAGGGUGAGAAUCCCGUUUGGCGAGGAUACCUUUUCUCUGUAAGACUUUUUCGAAGAGUCGAGUUGUUUGGGAAUGCAGCUCAAAGUGGGUGGUAAAUUCCAUCUAAAGCUAAAUAUUGGCGAGAGACCGAUAGCGAACAAGUACAGUGAUGGAAAGAUGAAAAGAACUUUGAAAAGAGAGUGAAAAAGUACGUGAAAUUGUUGAAAGGGAAGGGCAUUUGAUCAGACAUGGUGUUUUUUGCAUGCACUCGCCUCUCGUGGGCUUGGGCCUCUCAAAAAUUUCACUGGGCCAACAUCAAUUCUGGCAGCAGGAUAAAUCAUUAAGAAUGUAGCUACUUCGGUAGUGUUAUAGCUUUUUGGAAUACUGUUAGCCGGGAUUGAGGACUGCGCUUCGGCAAGGAUGUUGGCAUAAUGGUUAAAUGCCGC
rnacentral:rRNA from 1 species